GUUAUCCAUCAAACACUAUCAGUGUGAUUGUGCCAGAAAGUUUCAUGAUCAAAAAUGGUUCUUCAUAUCAUCCAGACCCCUGAACUGGAAAUAUCUUGUUAACUCUGCACUGUUUAAUAUUCUUUGGAAAUUAAACUACUUGGGCAUGUUUAGAGCUCAAAUGGAAUCUAUGCGUUUUGCUUGACAAGGUCGUUGGUUGCUUUUUAGAGCUUACAUAUUGAAAAUCAUG
rnacentral:lncRNA from 1 species